AACCCGCACCUAUCCACUCAAUAGACGUACGAAAAUUAACCUGCGACAAAAAAACCUACGACGGUUAACCAGCGACAGAAAAACCGUGCGGACGCACGUAGGAGCGACGAGUCCUGUUAUCGAGCGAGGUCUCCCUUCGUGGCCGCCCUACAUCCCUGCGCCGCCGCGCUUCAGUCGCUGCCCUCCAUCGUCGCCGCCCUCCAUCGUGGUCGAGGUCGCCGCCCCCGCUUCACUCGCCGUCCUCCAUCCGCGUCGAUCCUGGACAAGGUCGCCGCGGCCCUCCAUCACUUCGCUGCCGCGCUGAACACCUCGACGAUCCGGCGCUGGUCCUGGAUCAGGUCGUCGCCGCCCUCCAUCACUUCGCCGCGCGCUGAACUCCUCGCCCUUGAUCCAGGAUCCGGCGCUGAUCCUAGACGAGUAUACGCGGACACGUCCAGGAUCCGGCCAGAACACGUCCUGGAUCCGAAAAAUAGGUAUACAAACCAUCUCAUACGUCAAUCGCAUCUCAUAUAUCUCAAAUGCCAUACAAUCGCAUCUCAUACAUCUCACAGCCCAUACAUCCAUCGCAUGUCAUACAGCCAUGGCAAGUGCUUUCACAGGGAUGGAUCCGCCUGCGAGAUUGAUUUCUGUUGCACACAGUUUAGGUUUUUUUCAUGUUAAAAGUAGACAUGUUUACAGUUGGCAAUUGGCAUUUUUUUGUACCAAGGAGUAUCCUGCAUCCUGCACUUGUGUGAAUAUGGCAAAAAAGAAAACAUAAACCAUACAGGACCUAAGAGUAUGUUUCCACUUGUGCUGAACUAAAGAUAGAACAAAAACACUUGCAUUCUAAUAAAGUACAGAGAUGUAGAAGAUGUAGAUGAAAGUGCCAUUGCAGUAUAUAUGUAGAAUAAAAUACAAUUGCAGUAUAUGCUAGCAACAUGUUGCAGUAUAUAUGUAGAACAAUAACCCUUGCAGAAUGUCAAAGAUGUAGAAGAAAUUACCAUGUUGGUGAAGAUCAUCAAAGAACUACCAUUUCUGUCUUCAUGAUUUUUGCCAUUCAAUAGUUGCAUAUGGGGAAUUCAAAAAGCACGGCACGCGAACAUCAACCAGAAGAUGAUGUAACUACAGGUCUUACAAGCGGGAGAAGUGAUGCAGAACACAAUGCGAGCAUCAUACCCGUAGCCGAAAUUGUUGAUAACGUUUACACGACGGAAUCAGUCCUUACGAGCGGGAUAAAUGUUGGAGACUACAAUGCAAACUUCAUACCCUUACAUGCAAAUAUUCACGAUAUUUACACGACGGGAGCAGGGCGGGAACCUUCAAACGACGGGAUUCCAUCGUAUUCUGAGAAUAAUAAGGAUGGUAUGACUAAGCUACGAGGUGAUACUCAAGAUGACAAAAACUUCCGAGCAGCAUGCAACAGUAGCUGUAUGUAAUGAAGAAAAAAACGUUGGCGAAACAAGGGAGCAGUUCAACGCAUAGAGGCGUGAAUCUUAUCGGAAGAAAAAAGAGGAGGAUAUGGCCAGGUUACAAGAGGAUAAUCAGCCAUCCCUUUCAAAGACUGACCAUAGGGAUCUUAUCAACGCGUGGAGGCGGGCAUCUUAUCGCACUAAGAAGUCAGAUGGUUUUAUAAACCAUCUAGACGAUGGGCCGAUUGUUCACCGCCGUACUCUAUGUGAUAUCACAAAUGUUCAACAAUCUUCAUAUGUGAUCCCUGGAACUAAUGUUGGGGCAGAUCAUAUGUUGGGGCAGCUAAUCAAACCCACGUGAGAUGAUAAGCACAGGAAAGUUGAUCUUCGUCCCCUUUGUAAUUCAAAUGACCCAGCUAGCUCGGUUGAUACAUCAAUCUCGCAUAAUGAAUCAACAUAUCCUCCUAAAGCUACGGGCACGUCUGAUGUAAUUGCAGAUAAAAAUAUAGAAGAUACAAAGUGAUGGGUUCCGACAUAUGCACUGAUGUAACGAUGACAGACCGCACUGAAACACCACGAGAAAAGGAGACAUGGAUAUGGACUUUGGAGAUGCACGGAAAGAAUCCAUUGAGGGUUCAUAUGCGAUGUUGCUGCAAGGGGACAAAAAUUCACAACAUAAAAAUAUCGAAGAGGUUAUAUCUCAUAACAAACCAAAAAAGGAUGCUAAUUUACAUGUUACCUCACAAGACUAUGUUUGUACCCCUAGGAAUAUUACAGUCAUCGAAUCAAUCAAGUCUGCCCCCAAGAAUACCCAGUUCGUGGAUAUUGGAGAUGCCUUGUUAUCAACCGAUGAUUUGGAAUGCCUUAUGAAAGAUGAUAUGUUCUUACAUGACGGUAUCAAAGAAGACGGAGAAAGAGACAUAGACCCAUCAAAAUAUUAUCACAUCGUGCAUCAUGUUAAUACUUAUCUACAGCAAGACAUGUUAUUCAUUCCGAUUAACAUACCGGGCUACCAUUGGUAUCUAACAGUCUUCAAUGCCAAAAAACGUGAGAUUCAAGUAUUUUGGACUCACUUGGUUCUCGGGUCAAACGCAAUGACCUUGCUACUACGGUAACUAUCUAUUAUUUUUAUUCAUCUUAGCAUAUGUUUUUGUUUGCCUUGAUCCCUAUUAUUUCUUAUAUAUAAAAUAGUUACUAGGACUCGAGAAGUGUCUGAAACUUGUAGAGCAUAAACCGGAUUUUAUCAGAGGUCAUAAGUGGCCCGAUCUGAAUGUUACAAAAUGAACAGUUGUAGAGCAGUUUCAUGAGGCAAUACAAACCGAUGGGUAAGCACUUGUUACAAUUGUUUGUUUAAUUGAUUCAUCUGUGUGGUAUUCUGAAGCAUUAUUUUAUAAUACUAUGGCGUAUCAUGUGGACUAUUUAUGCUAAAUUAUAUGGAAUACUGGACAUCACAUGCACUGUGAGACCAAUUCACCCAGGAGGAUAUGAAACAUUUUCGACAAAAAUUGGUUGUCAUUUUGCUCGAUUCAGAGCUGAAUAAGCUAAAAGGAGGUCCCAUAUACCAUCAACCUGACGAUCAAGAAACUUUAGCUAAUUCUGAUCUCAAUAUAUUGGACAAUCCAUCUGAUGUAGUAAAAGACAAACGUCCUGCACCAAUCACUAUCAUACCCACGGACCAACGUGAAUUACUUGCCGGCCUCUGCAACUACAUCAUGUCGAUCGAUGAUGCCGGUUGUUUGGAGAAGGUAUGGGUCCGGAGCUCGACACCCGAUCCAAUGGGCUUAAGUCUUAAGAAACUUCAGUGCAUACUUAACAUAGAGCAGCCCAUGGAGAAUGAUUUCUUCAACACAGCCGUGCGUAUGCUGGCAUGUGACGAGAGAGUAUUGUUCACAUACCGUCCUGUGCACUACAUGGAUCUACGAUUUUGUUCCAUGAUGCUAGAGUCAACACGAGGUCAGAAGUUUUGCGAGAAGGAAACUAUCCAGACGUUGGCAACAUUAUUUGAUAGCUGGCCUGGGAUGGACAACGACAUCUCAUCGUGCAACAAGGAAUGUGUCUGGCUAUUUUGUUUUUCAUUUUAUGCUCUGGUGGAACGGUAAAGAAUUGGUCAAGCCGAUUUGCACGGAUGGGUAUGAAUUGAGGAAGCAGUUUUUAUUACACUUGCUAAAACAUUGUGGGAAUGAAGCUAAAGGAAACUUUUCUGAUAUUGUGAAAGAAUUACUUAAGCGCAUCAUCUAGAUAUUAAUAGUUUUGUAAUAGAUGUUUAGUUGGAACAUCGCUUGGUUUGUUA